rnacentral:rRNA from 1 species
CCUACGGGAGGCAGCAGUCGAGAAUCAUUCACAAUGGGGGAAACCCUGAUGGUGCGACGCCGCGUGGGGGAAUGAAGGUCUUCGGAUUGUAAACCCCUGUCAUGUGGGAGCAAAUUAAAAAGAUAGUACCACAAGAGGAAGAGACGGCUAACUCUGUGCCAGCAGCCGCGGUAAUACAGAGGUCUCAAGCGUUGUACGGAAUCACUGGGCGUAAAGCGUGCGUAGGCUGUUUCGUAAGUCGUGUGUGAAAGGCGCGGGCUCAACCCGCGGACGGCACAUGAUACUGCGAGACUCGAGUGAUGGAGGGGGAACCGGAAUUCUCGGUGUAGCAGUGAAAUGCGUAGAUAUCGAGAGGAACACUCGUGGCGAAGGCGGGUUCCUGGACAUUAACUGACGCUGAGGCACGAAGGCCAGGGGAGCGAAAGGGAUUAGAUACCCCGGUAGUC